rnacentral:rRNA from 1 species
GACGAACGCUGGCGGCGUGCUUAACACAUGCAAGUCGAACGAAGAGCGAUGGAAGCUUGCUUCUAUCAAUCUUAGUGGCGAACGGGUGAGUAACGCGUAAUCAACCUGCCCUUCAGAGGGGGACAACAGUUGGAAACGACUGCUAAUACCGCAUACGAUCUAACCUCGGCAUCGAGGAUAGAUGAAAGGUGGCCUCUAUUUAUAAGCUAUCACUGAAGGAGGGGAUUGCGUCUGAUUAGCUAGUUGGAGGGGUAACGGCCCACCAAGGCGAUGAUCAGUAGCCGGUCUGAGAGGAUGAACGGCCACAUUGGGACUGAGACACGGCCCAGACUCCUACGGGAGGCAGCAGUGGGGAAUCUUCCGCAAUGGACGAAAGUCUGACGGAGCAACGCCGCGUGAGUGAUGACGGCCUUCGGGUUGUAAAGCUCUGUUAAUCGGGACGAAAGGCCUUCUUGCGAAUAGUUAGAAGGAUUGACGGUACCGGAAUAG